UAGGGAAUCUUCGGCAAUGGGGGCAACCCUGACCGAGCAACGCCGCGUGAGUGAAGAAGGUUUUCGGAUCGUAAAGCUCUGUUGUAAGAGAAGAACGUGUGUGAGAGUGGAAAGUUCACACAGUGACGGUAACUUACCAGAAAGGGACGGCUAACUACGUGCCAGCAGCCGCGGUAAUACGUAGGUCCCGAGCGUUGUCCGGAUUUAUUGGGCGUAAAGCGAGCGCAGGCGGUUUAAUAAGUCUGAAGUUAAAGGCAGUGGGUUAACCAUUGUUCGCUUUGGAAACUGUUAAACUUGAGUGCAGAAGGGGGGGGUGGAAUUCCAUGUGUAGCGGUGAAAUGCGUAGAUAUAUGGAGGAACACCGGUGGCGAAAGCGGCUCUCUGGUCUGUAACUGACGCUGAGGCUCGAAAGCGUGGGGAGCAAACAGG
rnacentral:rRNA from 1 species